rnacentral:lncRNA from 1 species
CAGCUGCUGCUGGAUAGAACUUGGAGCUUUUCAAGUCCCACAUCACUUGAAACUCUUCACCAAACUCCUUCCAAAAGCUAUAUAAGUAAGGUUAGGGGUUCUUCUUGUACACACCUUUGCAUUGAAUGAAAUUCAAGUUGAACUGCAAUCUUGCAUUCUUCUUUGAGAUAGAAUUCUGUCUCUAAAGUCCCAAAUUUGGGCAGACCUUAUCUUGCUCAAGCAAGUGGCGGUCCUCCUCUUGAUGCUUAUCUUGGAAGCUUGUUCAAGUGGCGCAUCUUCAUUUCCUAAGUUUCCUUUCUCUAAUCUUUUCCAAUUUUAAUUUCUUUUCCAUUCUCUUAAAUGUCAUUUAGAAUAUUCUCUCUAGGUAUGCACUUCCCCAUCAUUUAGUAUGUUUAAUUGUGUGUGCGGUGAAUGACAUGCUUUUCUCUAUUCUUUUAUGUUUAUAUGGGCAUUAAUGAAUUCAGUAUGAAAUAUUUGUUAAAUUGAUAUUGAUUGUUUUGUGUAAUUAAGUACAUUGUGAUGAACUAGAUUAUGGAAAAUUAUAUGAAUAUUAGCAUUUUUUG